rnacentral:rRNA from 1 species
UACGGAGGGGGCUAGCGUUGUUCGGAAUCAUUGGGCGUAAAGGGCGCGUAGGCGGCCGAUCAAGUCGGAGGUGAAAUCCCUCGGCUCAACUGAGGAAUUGCCUUCGAUACUGUUCGGCUUGAGUCCUGGAGAGGGUAGCGGAAUUCCCGGUGUAGCGGUGAAAUGCGUAGAGACCGGGAAGAACACCGGUGGCGAAGGCGGCGACCUGGUCCGAUACUGACGCUGAGGCGCGAAAGCGUGGGGAGCAAACAGG